AGAGUUUGAUCAUGGCUCAGAUUGAACGCUGGCGGCAGGCCUAACACAUGCAAGUCGAACGGUAACAGGAAGAAGCUUGCUUCUUUGCUGACGAGUGGCGGACGGGUGAGUAAUGUCUGGGAAACUGCCUGAUGGAGGGGGAUAACUACUGGAAACGGUAGCUAAUACCGCAUAACGUCGCAAGACCAAAGAGGGGGACCUUCGGGCCUCUUGCCAUCGGAUGUGCCCAGAUGGGAUUAGCUAGUAGGUGGGGUAACGGCUCACCUAGGCGACGAUCCCUAGCUGGUCUGAGAGGAUGACCAGCCACACUGGAACUGAGACACGGUCCAGACUCCUACGGGAGGCAGCAGUGGGGAAUAUUGCACAAUGGGCGCAAGCCUGAUGCAGCCAUGCCGCGUGUAUGAAGAAGGCCUUCGGGUUGUAAAGUACUUUCAGCGGGGAGGAAGGGAGUAAAGUUAAUACCUUUGCUCAUUGACGUUACCCGCAGAAGAAGCACCGGCUAACUCCGUGCCAGCAGCCGCGGUAAUACGGAGGGUGCAAGCGUUAAUCGGAAUUACUGGGCGUAAAGCGCACGCAGGCGGUUUGUUAAGUCAGAUGUGAAAUCCCCGGGCUCAACCUGGGAACUGCAUCUGAUACUGGCAAGCUUGAGUCUCGUAGAGGGGGGUAGAAUUCCAGGUGUAGCGGUGAAAUGCGUAGAGAUCUGGAGGAAUACCGGUGGCGAAGGCGGCCCCCUGGACGAAGACUGACGCUCAGGUGCGAAAGCGUGGGGAGCAAACAGGAUUAGAUACCCUGGUAGUCCACGCCGUAAACGAUGUCGACUUGGAGGUUGUGCCCUUGAGGCGUGGCUUCCGGAGCUAACGCGUUAAGUCGACCGCCUGGGGAGUACGGCCGCAAGGUUAAAACUCAAAUGAAUUGACGGGGGCCCGCACAAGCGGUGGAGCAUGUGGUUUAAUUCGAUGCAACGCGAAGAACCUUACCUGGUCUUGACAUCCACGGAAGUUUUCAGAGAUGAGAAUGUGCCUUCGGGAACCGUGAGACAGGUGCUGCAUGGCUGUCGUCAGCUCGUGUUGUGAAAUGUUGGGUUAAGUCCCGCAACGAGCGCAACCCUUAUCCUUUGUUGCCAGCGGUCCGGCCGGGAACUC
rnacentral:rRNA from 1 species